rnacentral:rRNA from 1 species
CAGUCGCCGCGGGAAUACGAAGGGUGCAAGCGUUACUCGGAAUUACUGGGCGUAAAGCGUGCGUAGGUGGUGGUUUAAGUCCGUUGUGAAAGCCCUGGGCUCAACCUGGGAAUUGCAGUGGAUACUGGAUCACUAGAGUGUGGUAGAGGAUAGUGGAACUUCCGGUGUAGCAGUGAAAUGCGUAGAGAUCGGAAGGAACAUCUGUGGCGAAGGCGACUAUCUGGGCCAACACUGACACUGAGGCACGAAAGCGUGGGGAGCAAACAGGAUUAGAUACCCCUGUAGUCCCUGUCCUUAUACC